rnacentral:rRNA from 1 species
UACGUAGGUGGCAAGCGUUGUCCGGAUUUACUGGGCGUAAAGAGCGCGCAGGCGGUCGUUCAAGUCGAGUGUGAAAGCCCCCCGGCUCAACUGGGGAGGGUCACUCGAUACUGAUCGACUCGAAGGCAGAAGAGGGAAGCGGAAUUCCCGGUGUAGUGGUGAAAUACGUAGAGAUUGGGAAGAACACCAGUGGCGAAGGCGGCUAUCUGGACGGUUUCUGACGCUAAGACGCGAAAGCGUGGGGAGCAAACAGG